rnacentral:rRNA from 1 species
GACGAACGCUGGCGGCGUGCCUAAUACAUGCAAGUUGAGCGCUGAAGGUUGGUACUUGUACCAACUGGAUGAGCAGCGAACGGGUGAGUAACGCGUGGGGAAUCUGCCUUUGGGCGGGGGACAACAUUUGGAAACGAAUGCUAAUACCGCAUAAAAACUUUAAACACAAGUUUUAAGUUUGAAAGAUGCAAUUGCAUCACUCAAAGAUGAUCCCGCGUUGUAUUAGCUAGUUGGUGAGGUAAAGGCUCACCAAGGCGAUGAUACAUAGCCGACCUGAGAGGGUGAUCGGCCACAUUGGGACUGAGACACGGCCCAAACUCCUACGGGAGGCAGCAGUAGGGAAUCUUCGGCAAUGGACGAAAGUCUGACCGAGCAACGCCGCGUGAGUGAAGAAGGGUGUCGGAUCGUAAAACUCUGUUGGUAGAGAAGAACGUUGGUGAGAGCGGAAAGCUCAUCAAGUGACGGUAACUACCCAGAAAGGGACGGCUAACUACGUG